AGGUCAUUUCCAAGAGAGCUUAUGGGACCAAAACCAGGAGCUCUUAAUGCUGUGAACUAAGAUUGAAGUUCCCCAUAGGAUGUAAUAGAUAUCCAACCGUGCUAUGUUUUCCUGAGGAGACAUAAGA